AUGGCUGCUUUUCUGCUUCUGCUCGUUGUUUCCUCCCUCUCAUUUGCUGCCAUUGAUCCUGUUCAGUGCACCACAGCUUCUCAUUCACAUGUUCACAUUGUGUACUUGGGCCACAACAACGAUCUUAGUCCUUCUCUGACCACACGGUUUCAUCUCCAACUUCUGUCAACUGUCUUUGCAGAGCCGGAGGAAGCAAGACAAGCUAUUCUCUACAGCUACAGCUAUGGUUUCUCUGGUUUUGCGGCAGUGCUCAAUUCAACGCAAGCCACCACAUUGUCGGAAACAGAAGCGGUCAUAUCAGUAUUCAGGAGCAGGAUGCUGCAGCUCCAUACAACAAGGAGCUGGGAUUUCAUGGGCCUCAGCCUGCAUUCGCAUAUGGAGCAACCAUCCUCCCAAAUGCAUUUGAAGUACGGAGACGACGUAAUUGUCGGUAUCCUCGACACCGGUGUGUGGCCUGAAUCCGAGAGCUUCAGAGAUGACCCCCACCUAGGCCCCGUGCCGUCGUCAUGGCGCGGCACGUGCGUCGGAGGCCAGCAGUUCGACCCGGCCACCGCGUGCAACCGCAAGCUCAUUGGUGCGCGCUACUACCUCGCCGGCUUCGAGGCGGAGACCGGCCCGCUGAACACCAGCGGCGGCGCGGAGUACCGGUCGGCCCGGGACCGCGUGGGCCACGGCACGCACACGGCGUCCACGGCCGUGGGCGCCGUGUCCCCCAACGCGAGCUACUUCGGUGGGCUGGGCCGCGGCGCGGCACGCGGGGGCGCCCCCAGGGCGCGGCUGGCGGUGUACAAGGUGUGCUGGUUCAAGGACCUGACGGGCCGGUGCAACGACGCCGACAUCCUGGCGGCGUUCGACGACGCACUGCACGACGGCGUGCACGUCAUCUCGGCGUCCCUCGGGUCUCCGCCGCCGCUGUCGCCGCUGUUCGCGACGAGCACCGAGGUCGGGUCGUUCCACGCCAUGCAGCUCGGGGUGUCCACGGUGUUCUCGGCGGGCAACGACGGGCCCGACGCGGCCAUGGUGCAGAACGUGUCGCCGUGGGGUGUCACCGUCGCCGCCAGCACCAUCGACCGGAGGUUCCCGACGGUGAUCGCGCUCGGGAGCAAUGCCUCCUUCGUGGGAGAGGGCUUCAUUGUGAAGGACAUGAAAAUGCAUUUAGUAGAGAGCACUAGCGUCUUUGCCGAUGGGACGUGCUCCCUGGACCAGCUGGUGAACCGCACGGCGGCGUCUGGGAAGAUCGUCUUGUGCUUCUCCACGAUGGGGAUGGUGUCUGGCGAGGGCGCGGCGCUGGCGGUGUAUGCCGGCGGUGGCUCCGGCGUGAUCUUCGCGGACUCCAGCUCCCGGCGGUCCAACCAGGACAACUUCCUGCCCACCGUCCACGUCAACCUGCGCCAGGGCACCCAGAUCCUCAACUACAUCCAGAGCCGUUCAAGGCCACGGCCGACCGUGCACAUCUCGCCGAGCAGGACCGUCGUCGGCAAGACGCCGGCGCCGGCCAUCGCCUACUUCUCCUCCAGAGGGCCCAGCUCCAUUUCUCCAAACAUUCUCAAGCCUGACGUCACCGCACCCGGGGUGAACAUCCUGGCGGCGUGGCCGCCCAAGUCGUCGCCGACGAUGCUCCCUCUGGACAAGCGCUCCACGGAGUGGAACUUCGACACGGGCACGUCCAUGUCGUGCCCCCACGUCACCGGCAUCGUCGCCAUCCUCAGGUCCGUGCACCCGACCUGGUCACCGGCCGCAGUCAAGUCCGCCCUCAUGACCACGGCGUACGUGCACGACGACACGUCGGACGCCAUGCUGGCCGGUGGCACGCAGAAGGCCGCGGACGCCUUCGACACCGGCGCGGGGCACGUGGACCCGCUGCGGGCGCUGGACCCGGGGCUGGUGUACGACGCGGACGCGCGCGACCACGUGCGCUUCCUCUGCGGCCUCGGCUACACGGAGGCCCAGGUGCGGCAGAUGGUGCUCUCCUCCCCGGCGCUCGACACCAGCUGCGCCGGCGGCGCCAUUGGCGACGCCGACCUCAACUACCCGGCCAUCGUGCUCCCCGAGCUGCGGGCUGCGGCGACCGUGAAGCGGACGGUGACGAACGUGGGCCUCCAGAGGGAAACCGUGUACCACGCUACCGUCAUCAGCCCGCAGGGCGCGCACGUCGAGGUGUGGCCGCCGGCGCUGGCGUUCUCCUCGCGCUGCGCCAGGGCCGAGUACUACGUCACCGUCACGCCGGCGAAGCUCUCGCGCGGUCGGUACGACUUCGGCGAGAUCGUGUGGUCCGACGGCUACCACCGCGUCCGCACGCCGCUGGUCGUCAGGGUCACCAACCUGCCGGACGCCGGCGUCGGCGCUCAGCCCACGAAUCAGCACCGUGAUACUACUGAGUACUGA
rnacentral:rRNA from 1 species